UACGGGGGGAGCAAGCGUUGUUCGGAAUUACUGGGCGUAAAGGGCUCGUAGGCGGCCAACUAAGUCAGACGUGAAAUCCCUCGGCUUAACCGGGGAACCGCGUCUGAUACUGGAUGGCUUGAAUCCGGGAGAGGGAUGCGGAAUUCCAGGUGUAGCGGUGAAAUGCGUAGAUAUCUGGAGGAACACCGGUGGCGAAGGCGGCAUCCUGGACCGGCAUUGACGCUGAGGAGCGAAAGCCAGGGGAGCAAACGGG
rnacentral:rRNA from 1 species